CGGGACACGUGUGUCCCAGAGCGCCCCUAGUGCGGUCGGGCCCCGCGGGCCACCAGGACCGGCCGUGGCACCCCCGAGCAGCCAUGUUCAGGGGUGCUUAUUUGCACUUUGCUCCAGCCUGCCGACAGAGGUCUGUGAGUUGAAGAGGACUAUCCACGAAACUUUUAAUACCUUUGAGUCUUUUGGAUUUUGCAACACUUCUGGAAAGGCAUAUGAGAAACAUGGUUCCCUACUGAAGAGCUGGAAUUAACCUUGGCUGCACAUUGGAAUCAACUGGGAACUUUAAAAAUACAGACAUUUGGGUCCUCAGAAAUUCCCACUUAACUGAGGGGUAGUGAAGUCUGGGAGGAAUUAAGUCUGCUCUGGGGAGCAGCGGGCAUCCCACUUGUAAAAGCUCUUAGGUGAUUCCAGCACACAGCUGAGACUGAGAAUGUUGUCUCUAAGAAUCUGAAAUCCCUAAUUUUCAGGUUUUCCUUGUUCUGGUAACUGUUUUCUCAGGUGUAAGUUCCAUCUUUUGCUGAGAUAUUUGUUUCUUGUAGAUGGUGUUGGCUUUUUUCAGAGACUGGGUGAGCUCCACUCACCUGUGUUACAUCUCUGUCUGCACCCCAGGCUUCCCCUGUGGCCUGGCUGCACUAAUUCCCACAAGGCGGUUAUGAGAGGGAGCGCCUCCUACCACAUCAUUUCCCAUCUCCUCUUCCUUAAGGAAUGCUGCUCAGGUGUUCUGGAGAGGGCUCGUUCUUAUUUUCAAAAGUGGCUAUAUUGUCUUUUAUUUUUCUCCUUCCCUCCCUUUCCUUCCUUCCUCUUUGUAUCUUCAAACUCUCUUCUUAGGGUCUUAUAAGGAAGUGGAGAUUUCAGUGUGAGUUUAGUCUACAUUCUUGAAAUCUGGUGAUUUUACUUUUUAGCUUUAUACACUUUUGUGUUACUUGAAUUAUUUCCCCACAAAUAUAUUACUUUAGUAGUAAUCUUUUAAAAUAUUUUAUGCAAAGUUAUUACAGUCAUAAAGUUUAUGUAAUAAUCUGCAAAAACUGUUACGAUUAAGUAAGGAAAAAAGUAGAAAUAUACACAGGAGGAUGACAGUGGAAAACAAGACCAUGACAAAAAGCCAACUUUAUCCAUGGAGAGAGACUGGAAUGGAAUACAUAUGAAAUAAUGGCUGUGCUUACACAGAGCCACUGUGGUAAGGUUUUUGCUUUUCAUAUACUUUAGUAUUUUAUAUAUGUAUUUUAAAAGAGUAUAUAUAUUUUUUAUAAUGGAUGGGGAAAUUGAGGCACUCAUGUUAAAGGAGUUUAGUCAACUGCAGAAGUUGUCCAUGGUACAAAAUGGUUUGUGGGAGACACUCAAGCUCAGAGAAGCUGACUGGGUGUAUCCCAAGGAAGGUGUUGCCUGGGAUGUCAUUGUCAGAAGAAAAUGAGCAUUGCCAGCUGUACUUUAAUGUGCUGGUCAUGAAGCCAAGUUACCUCUAUUCCCUAUUACCCCAGCAAGAGUGCCUUUUGGUUUUGUUUGGGCAUCCACCCCUCAACAACCCUUGAGGUGUCUGGGACUCCACCUUUGCCUCAAGAGGAACAAGACAUGAUGCAGGCCACACCGUUAGUGUAUCACAUUCCUCUUGCUCAGUUAAACUGAAACCACUACAAAGAGGCUUUUUCCCCCUCCAAGCUGUACUUCAACUUGAAUCUUGUGGCUGCAGCAGCUCUAGCUCUCUUGCUUCCUUCGAGAGCCUGAGAAUUAAGCAACGCAUGCAAAGGAGCAAAUCAGUUGAAUGCCAAUCUGGCUGCAGUGAGGCCUAGAUCUUCUGUCCUUAGGUUUUUUCUGAUACAUGAGCCAAUACAUUUCCUAAGACAGGUUGAGUUGUGCUUUGCAACACUUAAAUAAGUCAAAAUAGCUCUACAAACUCUACUUAUGGAGAUUUGUUUUAAAAGGAACACUAGAGAGAAGAAUGUAUUGCCUUUACCCAGUGCUUUCUCUUGAAAGUUGAUGCUCUAAUUCCUGACCUCCUGACCUCUACCCUUAUUCACUGGGCAAAUGUCUCUCUCCCCUGGAGAAACAGUCAUUCAUCCAUUAGCCUAGUGUGAUGAAAAUAUCUCAC